CAGAGGAAGAAACAGUCUGCUCUAGAUAAGAUUCUCAAGUUAGAACAACAAUUGAAUGUCAAAAGCAGAAGCCUGAGUUCAAAAAACAGUUGCAGUGCAAACUGGAAGUAAUGAAGCAUAUGCCAGGUCAAAGAAGAUAGACCAACUUCGUGAGGAGCUGCAAGAAAUGGAGUCACACAGCUAGAGUGUUGUCAAGGAUCAGAAGAGAAACGAUGAGCUACAAGAUGCUCGUAAGGAGCUGAUAUAUGGCUUGCUCGAACUUACAACUGGCCGAUCAGCAAUUGUAGACAUCAAAGGAAUGGGUGUGCUUGACCCAAAAGCAUUCACAAAUGCUUGCAAAGGGAAAUUCUGACAAGAUACAAAACUUACUGCUACUCUGCCGCUAUUCUUUGUUCAAAGUGGGUGCUAACUGGCACCUUUUUCAGGGUUGCCGCUAUUGAUGGCAAAGAGAAGGAAUUACUUUCGGAGAAGGACGACAAGUCAAGACAACAGAACUGAACUGAAAGAAGUCUGGGAGGGCGGGUGAAGCUGCAAGGGGAGCAGGACUUUUUUUCUUUCUUUCUGGAGAAUCAAAUCGGGCCAGGAUUUCCUAUGAGGCAACACAAAAAGGGAACACAGGGCGGCCCAUCUAAGGGCCCCUUUAUAAGCCGAGGAUUGGAAUUUUUGGGGCCUCGUCCCAA